CAGUCGCCACGGUAAGACAGAGGAUGCAAGCGUUAUCCGGAAUGAUUGGGCGUAAAGCGUCUGUAGGUGGCUUUUCAAGUCCGCCGUCAAAUCCCAGGGCUCAACCCUGGACAAGCGGUGGAAACUACCAAGCUGGAGUACGGUAGGGGCAGAGGGAAUUUCCGGUGGAGCGGUGAAAUGCGUAGAUAUCGGAAGGAACACCUGUGGCGAAAGCGGCUCACUGGACAAUAACUGACGCUGAGGCACGAAAGCUAGGGGAGCAAACAGGAUUAGAUACCCGCGUAGUCCCUGUCUCUUAUAC
rnacentral:rRNA from 1 species